UGGGUUUGAAGGUGUGAACUCACAGCUCUGGCUGCCAUGGUGAUGGGGAUGGCGGUGAGGAAGGUGAAGUAGUACCCUGGAUAAACGCCGUGCCACAGAGCGGACAGGAUGAAGCUCUGAGCAGGACCCAAACGUUGAAGCAUGCUUACCCAGCGUCCAGGCAAAGUAGAAUUUGGGCCUGGCUGCUUGGAUGGAGAAGAAGGCAUACGUGAGCCUGGUGAGGAAGUCCGCGUUGUUGAUGAAAUCGGGGUCAACGUUAUACGUUAUGGGCAGCGAUCGCGUCACAAUCAGGAAGAGGAGCAUGCAGACGCAGCAGACCAGCAGCUUUCGACAGACGGCGUCCUGGAGGAGAACGUUUGGAUUACCGAGAGAAAAACAACAACUCUGGAACAAACCACAUUUGUUUGAGACUGAAUAAUUCACAAGACUUGGAUUUAAUUUUUUUUUUUUUUUUCUUGACAACUAAAGACCAGUUUAUUUA